rnacentral:lncRNA from 1 species
AUGAACUGUACGGGGGGCAGAGGUCACGCGAACCAUUAUUGUGCUGUAUUUUAUGCAAACAAAAAAAAUGUAUUAGAGGAUGUGCUUUGUAUUGUAACAAGUGCUCCUCCAUUCAGUGACAUUGCCAUAAUCAUGCAGUUAUUGCCAGCCUUGUCAGAGCCAACUGCGUGCAACUGUGAGGAGCAGGGGGUCAGCACUUGUGGCAUCAGCUCCUGUAACCACAGCAGUGCAGCGUGGCACAGUUACACUUUAAAUGAGAAUAUUUAGGGGAGGAAUGACAGCACUGUGCCAGCCUGCAGCAGCUGCACCAAGUUACUGGAACACCAGAACACUUAUUCUACAGGCCUAGAAGCAAAGGAUUCUAAAGGUGUUUUCAGAAGGUGCCCAUGCUACUGAGAAGUGUAUGCACCAUUUUUAAAAGUGCCUUGCUGAGAGAUGAUGGACUGGGU